rfam:Parcubacteria group bacterium CG2_30_48_51 cg2_3.0_scaffold_1505_c, whole genome shotgun sequence.
ACUUAUGAGAGUUUGAUCCUGGCUCAGGAUGAACGCUGGCGGCAUGACUAAGGCAUGCAAGUCGAACGCCCCGAUUUAUCGGGGAGUGGCAAACGGGUGCGUAACACAUUGGUAACCUGCCCCCUGCUGGGGAACAACUCCGCGAAAGCGGGGCUAAUACCGCAUAGUUUCGCUUAUCAUAAGAUGAGUGAAUAAAGCUAUGGACAUUGCAGUGUGCAAGAGUGCUUAGAAGCAAUGAAAAUAAACAAGUAGAUGAUAAUUUUCAUUGUCUUAUAGAGCAUUCUUGUAUAGUGUAAUGUCCAUGGCGGAAGGGGAGGGGCCUAUGGCCUAUCAGCUUGUUGGUGAGGUAAAAGCUUACCAAGGCAAUGACGGGUAGCGGGUGUGAGAGCACGACCCGCCUCACUGGGACUGAGACACUGCCCAGACUCCUACGGGAGGCUGCAGUCAUGAAUAUUCCACAAUGGCCGAAAGGCUGAUGGAGCAAUGCCGCGUGAUCGAAGAAGCUUUUCGGAGUGUAAAGAUCUUUUCUGUGGGAAGAAUGCGUGACGGUACCACAGGAAUAAGAGGUUGCUAACUCUGUGCCAGCAGCAGCGGUAAUACAGAGACCUCAAGCGUUAUCCGGAUUUAUUGGGCGUAAAGCGUCCGUAGGCGGUUUGAUACGUUACUGGUUAAAUCUUUGGGCUCAACCCAAAGACCGCCGGUAAUACGGUCAAACUUGAGGCCGGGAGAGGUAAGCGGAAUUGCCGGUGUAGUAGUAAAAUGCGUUGAUAUCGGCAGGAACACCAAAUGCGAAAGCAGCUUACUGGAACGGUUCUGACGCUCAGGGACGAAAGCGUGGGUAGCGAAUGGGAUUAGAUACCCCAGUAGUCCACGCCGUAAACGAUGGAUACUAGGCAUUGGAAGUAUCGACCCUUUCAGUGUCGUUUACUCAAGGUAACCCCUUAAGUAUCCCGCCUGGGGAGUACGAGCGCAAGCUUAAAACUCAAAGGAAUUGACGGGAGCCCGCACAAGCGGUGGAGCAUGUGGUUUAAUUCGACGAUAAGCGAGGAACCUUACCAAGGCUUGACAUCUGGCUGCAAGCUCCUUAAUCGGAGCCGCUUUCGAAGGUGCCAGACAGGUGCUGCAUGGUUGUCGUCAGCUCGUGCCGUGAGGUGUAUGGUUAAGUCCAGUAACGAGCGCAACCCUUACUCUAUGUUACCCAUUUCAUAGAGAACUGCCCCGCACAACGGGGAGGAAGGCGGGGAUGACGUCAAAUCAGCAUGGCUCUUACGCCUUGGGCUACACACGUGCUACAAUGGCCGGUACAACGGGUCGCCAAACCGCAAGGUGGAGCUAACCCCUUAAAACCGGUCCCAGUUCGGAUUGAGGGCUGAAACCCGCCCUCAUGAAGUCGGAAUCGCUAGUAAACGCGAAUCAGCCUCGUCGCGUUGAAUACGUUCCCGGGCUUUGUACACACCGCCCGUCACGUCAAGGAAGUUGGCAAUACCCGAAUGUCGCAGGUUUGCGGCAGAAGGUAGGGCUGAUAACAGGGACGAAGUCGUAACAAGGCAUCCGUAGCGGAAGCUGUGGAUGGAUCACCUCCUUU